UUUUUCCUCAAGUGCAGAGAUCUCAGAUGA
rnacentral:piRNA from 1 species